rnacentral:lncRNA from 1 species
AUCACUUCAACUGAGCUAAACGAGAGUCACAUGGAAUCUCCGAGAAGCCGGACAUGGAAAAGACGCAGCUGUGUAACGAAAAGCAGAUGGAAUUGUGGCACGAAGCAAGGACCUCCCAUAUGGAAGAACUGUAUUUGAGGAACUGUCAAAAGAUCAGUCAGCCUACAAGCUCUUAUAUAUCUCAGAGGAAGAGAUAGAGAGCAUGGGGAACCUCCCACCAGAGACAAUCCGUGGGACAAUGUGGACGCACCAGAUUGUCACCGACAGUCCAGGAGAGAUAACUUAGAGGAUACUCAGUUGCUUCUGUUCCUUUCCACAUCACUGCAGCUGUUUCAGCCCAUGGACUGUGACUCUCUGGUUGAAAAGAAGUGCGCGUCAGACCAAGAUGGAAAAUCCAACACAUCUCACAACGCCUUCCAGCCCAUUGAAGAUCUAAGUGAAACAUUGACCGGAAAGUGGUUUUGUGGCGGAGUAUGAUCAGGAGGUUUACCCUGGUAUCGUGCAAGACGUUCACGCAGAGAGUGGUGCUCUUGUGAAAACCAUGAGCCGCGUUGGCUCGAACCGUUUUCUUGGAGCCCCGUCCAGUGACCAAAAGGCACAUGGAGCUGGAUGCCUUGGUCUGGGAGGAACGUAGCUCUCUUUCUAAGCCUUUAGAUACCAUUGGAAACUCACUUGGUAGUACAUACAAAGUACAUACAUAAAAUAAAACAUGUACAGCUCUCAAUUAACUCUUCCCUCAAUAUAUCGGUGCUAGAAGUUCUAGUUGUUGCAUCUAAGUGUAGUCAAUGACAAAACAUUGUUCUCAUGUUGAAAAGGUGCUAGGUCCAGUGUUUUGGAAGUAAGUGGUGAACUUGGUAGAUGGUAUAACAACAUUGCAAUGACAGUUUAUUAAAUGGCUUUUCCUACUUUUUCAAUAAUGUCAUGAUC